rfam:Firmicutes bacterium CAG:83 genomic scaffold, scf139
UCCCGCCGGCGGUAUUCACUCCACUUCUCACUAUGGUGCCGCACGGCUUAAAAAAGGAGGAACAAGGUCCGCUGUGACUGGCGGUGCGGCAGUGUGGAGACCUGUCGCAAGGCGUGCCGGCUGAGCCGGGCGUGAGGCCGCUCCAUGCGGAGGCAGGGCGGUCACAGUCAGAUGCAUAUGGCA